UAUAUUUGAUGGUGUCACAAGUGUGAGUGUGACGAGACUGAGCAUGGCCUUCUAUGGUACCACGAGAUGGGAGUAUAGACCACGUGGCAAUUAUGUAAGUAGGUAUUUGCACAUAAUGAAAUGUGGUCCUUAGGUUGUAAACAUGACUCACCUGUUUUGACAGUAUGAACUUAAUUCGACUUCAUUGUUACUAAUUAACUACUUAGAUUUGAUACUAUUGCGAGGUCUUUAACCGUUUAAUAAUGUUUUAUCAUGAAACUUGAAUUGUGUGGAACAGUACCACUACUUGCAGCUUGCAGGGUUCUCCUCUAAUCCGAGUAAAUACAUGGUCUGCUUUCUAUGUUCAUUGUAUUUUUGUUAAUUAGGGUUUCUGAUAAGUGGGUCGCAAACAAAUUCAAUUUAGGGUUUAGGGUUUCGCCGAUUGAAGGAAAGUUUGGGUAUUUGAUACAGUGGGUUGCAACAUAUUCAAUUUGGGGUUUAGGUAUUGUUUUAGUUGGUUAAAUUAGAUUUUAUUAUCUCUAACGGAAUUGUUGAUUGCCGUUUGUGGUCUUUUGGUGCAGAGAAGCAUAUCCACAUUAAUGAUGCAUGAGUCGAUAUCUGCUUUGUUAAUCUGCAUUCCAAUUCGAUUUCUGCUAAAAGUUGAUUGUGGUUUUGAUUUUGUUCUUGAAGAUGUUUUUGUUUUUGGCUUAGGAUGGUCACUAUUAGGAUUUCAAUUCGAUUUCUGCUAAGGUAGAGAUAAAUUGUACAAUCAACUGCAUCUGCCCAGAUAUUCUUUGGUAAAUUAUCUGUUCUUCUCAUAGUAAUGAAUGUAAAUUAUGGCUUCAGCAACUACUGCAGACUAUCGUUGUGUUUUGGCAGGUGGCUUCUCCUAUGGAGACACUGGGUAGGGAUGCAACCAAAUUGGAAAUGAAUAAGCGAACAUACAUAGUUGCAAAUAUAUCAUUUCUUAGUUGAGAGUCUUUGGAAAUUAGUUCAUGAUUGAGUUUUGGUCUCUAACAUAUAAGGAAGUGGUAAGCGGUAAUGUAUGGUUCUUUAUACUUUUAUCUGUGGUUGUUUAAAUUAUCUCAGACUGUGUUUCACGUAUGCAGUCAUGAAUAUGAACAUUUGUAAGACAACUCAGGUUGUUUUCUACUCAGUUGAUGUGAGCCACAGUUCAUGUGGUUGGGCAAUUUCUUUAUCUGAAAUCUGUAGGACUAAAUGUUCAGUGGUCAGAUUAUUUUUUGCAGGCACGUGCUUAGUGUACUAUCAGUAUGCGGAAUUUCUCAUCUCAGUUAUGGUUAAAAGUGUUAUUUUGUUAUGUUAGACAACAUGGAUCCUAUUUACUCCCUUUCCAGGAUGUAUCUUUCAACCUAUUUUAAUUCAUAAGGUACUGUUACUAUCUACUUAAAACGCUAAAAGGAUAACAGAUUUUUAUAAUAUGUUAAUUCUAGGCCGAAGCUGAAGUUCAGAGAUUGGAUCAACUAAAAGCACGUAAGAUGAAAGAAAUUUUUCGUAAGAAGCAAGAUGAACUGAAAAAUAUAUGCAAGAGGACUUUCAUGGAAAGGCCAUCCCAGUCAGAGACCCAGUCAGAGAUUGACAAUAUACUGAACCAAAUAAAUGCUGGUGAGCACAGGACUGGUAUACCAAUGACUAGCUCACCAAUGAUUGGGCUAUGGAAAAUGCAUGGGAAAUUGACCCCACUGAUCUCCUUAAAAUCAUGGAUGAGCAAAUAUUUAAGGACUAGAAUGAUUGGACUAGAACGCUGGCUGGAAGAGUAUAACAUGAAUGAAAAUCGAUAUUAAAUUAGUAGAGGUGCUCACAAGAACCUGAAACUGGCAGAAUGUGCACGAAUAACGGUUAGCAAAGUCGCUGAUUGGGACGUGCUGAAACGGAUGUGUACCAUCUUAAGAAUGCAGGUAAAAAAGCCAGGUCUAAUAUGAUUUCUCAAGUAUAGACUCUUCAAACUCAUCUCAAAAAAUCAAGAAAAUAAACAAAAAGAUUAGAAUGCAGUUCUGCGAACUAAGACCAGGUAAACAUGAAGCGGCAGAAUUCGACAUCGAGUGCAAGUUGAGUUCGUCCUGACAGAAGGGGAAAGAUCGCCGCGAUUUUUUUUUGGUAGAAAUCAAUGAAAUUCCUCACUCAUUAUACUGUAACUCCACAUGAUACAACAGGUGAAAAAAAAAUGUAUAAAAGGAUUACCAGAGACUAAUGAGCAUCAUGAUGCAACUGGUGGCCAACAUGGUGAUGAAAACUUUUGCAUAAAUAAAAGCUGCAGAAAAGUGCAUUACCAAACAGUAAUGAGCAUGAUGGGGAAAAUGGUGGUGACAAACAAGGGGGUAUGAAUAUAUGAUCAAGUGCGCCUUUCUUAGCAUUUCAGAUUUCCUUAUUGAACAUUUAGUAUUUUUAAGACGCCUUUGUUUUUAUUUGUUAAGUAGAGUUUGAGAAUUUCUUAUGCAUCAUACUGUUCUCUUAUGCAAAUUCUUAUUACUUUGGUAUCUAAGUUUUGACAACUAAUUAAACUCAUCAAUUAAACUCCUCAAUUGAUAAACUACUGGGCGCCGAGUGAUACCAAAUUAAAAAAUGCACUUCGAGGGGAUGAGGCGAAGCGGACAUACCAAAUCAAAAAUGCAUCGGGACGUUGGCGUGGCGAAUCCGAGACGCCAAAUCAAAAAUGCAUCGUGACGGAACGAGGCAAAGACCAGCCACACCAAAUAAAAAAUGUAUCGGGACGGGGGCGAGGCGAAGCCGAGCUACACCAAAUCAAUAAUACAUCGCGACGGUACACGACGGGACGAGGCGAAGCCGAGCCACGCCAAUCAAUAAUACAUCGUGACACCAAAUAAAAAAUGUAUCGGGACGGGGGCGAGGCGAAGCCGAGCUACACCAAAUCAAUAAUACAUCGCGACGGUACACGACGGGACGAGGCGAAGCCGAGCCACGCCAAUCAAUAAUACAUCGUGACGGUACACGACGGGGCGAGGCGAAGCCGAGCCACACCGAAUCAAAAAUGCACGACGAGGCGAGGUGAAGCCACAUUACACCAAACCAAAAAUAUGGUUAAAUGAAGAAAAAAAUGAUGGUGGAUGGUUUUCAAAGACGCCCGGUGCGUUGCACGGGCAUAAAAUCUAGUUGAGUAUGAUUUCGUGUUUGUAGAUUUGAUUUCGAUUUAGUUUCAAAUUUCUUGAAGAUAAAAACAAUUAAUAAUAAUAUACCCUAC